CAUGCAAGUCGAGCGGAAACGACAHYAWYRAWUCUUCGGRKGMKUURWUGGGCGUCGAGCGGCGGACGGGUGAGUAAUGCCUAGGAAAUUGCCUUGAUGUGGGGGAUAACCAUUGGAAACGAUGGCUAAUACCGCAUAAUGCCUACGGGCCAAAGAGGGGGAYCUUCGGRCCUCUCGCGUCAAGAUAUGCCUAGGUGGGAUUAGCUAGUUGGUGAGGUAAUGGCUCACCAAGGCGACGAUCCCUAGCUGGUCUGAGAGGAUGAUCAGCCACACUGGAACUGAGACACGGUCCAGACUCCUACGGGAGGCAGCAGUGGGGAAUAUUGCACAAUGGGCGAAAGCCUGAUGCAGCCAUGCCGCGUGUAUGAAGAAGGCCUUCGGGUUGUAAAGUACUUUCAGUUGUGAGGAAGGGGGUAACGUUAAUAGCGUUAUCUCUUGACGU
rnacentral:rRNA from 1 species